GCCGCCAUAGCUCAGCUCGGUAGAGCGUCUGCCUGUUAAGCAGUUGGUCUUCGGUUCGAUUCCGAAUGGCGGCGCCA
rnacentral:tRNA from 1 species